GUACUAUACAUGCAGUCGAGCGGACAGAUGGGAGCUUGCUCCCUGAUGUUAGCGGCGGACGGGUGAGUAACACGUGGGUAACCUGCCUGUAAGACUGGGAUAACUCCGGGAAACCGGGGCUAAUACCGGAUGGUUGUUUGAACCGCAUGGUUCAAACAUAAAAGGUGGCUUCGGCUACCACUUACAGAUGGACCCGCGGCGCAUUAGCUAGUUGGUGAGGUAACGGCUCACCAAGGCAACGAUGCGUAGCCGACCUGAGAGGGUGAUCGGCCACACUGGGACUGAGACACGGCCCAGACUCCUACGGGAGGCAGCAGUAGGGAAUCUUCCGCAAUGGACGAAAGUCUGACGGAGCAACGCCGCGUGAGUGAUGAAGGUUUUCGGAUCGUAAAGCUCUGUUGUUAGGGAAGAACAAGUACCGUUCGAAUAGGGCGGUACCUUGACGGUACCUAACCAGAAAGCCACGGCUAACUACGUGCCAGCAGCCGCGGUAAUACGUAGGUGGCAAGCGUUGUCCGGAAUUAUUGGGCGUAAAGGGCUCGCAGGCGGUUUCUUAAGUCUGAUGUGAAAGCCCCCGGCUCAACCGGGGAGGGUCAUUGGAAACUGGGGAACUUGAGUGCAGAAAAGGAGAGUGGAAUUCCACGUGUAGCGGUGAAAUGCGUAUAGAUGUGGAAGAACACCAGUGGCGAAAGCGACUCUC
rnacentral:rRNA from 1 species